GGGGCUGUAGCUCAGUGGCAGAGCACUUGCCUAGCAUGUGUGAGGCAAUGGGUUCAAUCCUCAGCACCA
rnacentral:tRNA from 1 species